rnacentral:lncRNA from 1 species
UUCCUACGGAAGCUUAUCAUCAGCCACCAUUCUUCUUUUCCUUCUCAAACCAGCCGUGCAACACCAAGAGAAGGAGACCAAAAUUCCUUCUUCAUUCACCUCUCAAACUUGCACCAAAUCACUUGAAAUUUCUACCACAAACUCACAACAACUUGGAGAUUCAUCUAGGCAAGGAGGGGAGCUUCAUUUCCACGGUUUUCUUGAGGCUCAAAGUGACCAAAAAUUUCUGAUCUAGUCAUCCAAGAAGGUAGCAAAUCAUCCAACCCAUAGAUCUUAGUUUUUGUAAGAUAUAUUGCACAUAUACGGUUAUAUAAUCAUGUGGGUAGCUUUGUUUAUGGUGUAAAAUGAAAUGGGUGGGCUCUAUGAACUCCCACCUUUGUCUUGGGGACUGAUAUCAUGCUUGAUGAUGGAUUUAAUGUUGGUUUAGUGCUCAAAAUGGUAGAUUAAUGGUGUAUAACUAGUAGAAACUUCAAGGAGUGCAUGGAGUAAAAAGUGACCGUUUUACCCCUGCCUUGUCCGACCAUUUUUGUGCAACAUUUUGAGGUUCUAAUGACUUGAUUAUGUUGUUUACAUGUUAUUGUGAGUGUGUACAAAAUUUCAUCGAAAAAUAACAUGAUUUGGUUGGUCAAAUGAGUUGAUUUCCAAAGUCAGCAAAACUGGAAAAUGAAUCCCGUAUUGGCCAGGCAGUCAUUUUGUAUCGACCAUAACUCUUUGCUCCGAUGUCGAAAUCAAGUGCCGUUUGCGGAACUGGAAACUAGACAUUCCCAGAUUUCCAUUGGUACCAAUUUUACAUUCUGGUUCCACUUGAGUGAGCCACACCAUUCGAUUGAAAAUCACUGUCCUGUUUCGUUGCUCUCCAGGAGACAGGACAGAAAUUGCUUCUUGAUGCUCAAAAACGAGCUGUUUGUGAAUGGAAUUUGAAAAUGGUUUCUUCUGAGAAAAUUUAUCUUUAUGAGAGAGCUUUCCAACGCCAUUAACCACGCCCAAUUCCAAGUUAAAUUGAGUGAGUUGUGGCCAAUGUUUGAAACUGCUACAGUGAUAGAAUUUUCCACCUGGACAGAUUUGUAACUAACAAUGAUUUGGGACUUGUUUUCUGAAGCUUCUUGGUAUAAAUCACCUAUAAAAUGUACCUUAGACAUUAUCUACUGAAAUGAACCGUGUUUGAGGUGUUUUAUUGGCCAAACAUUUUGAAAAUGGAAAAACGGAAGUCCAAGGCAGAUUUGCCGAGGAACUUCUUGGGACUUUAGUGAUUUCGUUAACCAACUUUACGAAUGAAUUUUCCUACAAAAUUUGGUAGAGAAAUAGCCCUUAUAUGGUAGGAUAAUACUGCCAAAUUUGGUGCCAUUCCAAGUCCGUUUCAGUGUUCAACCAACGUCCCAAAGUUCAUGUUUAAAUCUGGAAAUUCUUGAUCGAGGAGGAAUUUUUAGCAAACUUUGAGCUGCUAUAUCUUGGCGCUCAAAACUUCAAUUCUUGUACCGUUUGUUUCAUUUUAAACUUUGAUUGUAGCUCUAAUUGAGUUCUAAAUUUCGGAGGUUAGUUCGUAUUGUGUGAAUUUUGCCGGAUUUUCAAAGAUGGUCAAAAACCAACCCCGAAACUGUCUAAAUGGUCCCAAGCAGCAACUUUGAGUCAAUUUUUGAAUACCUUCUGUUUGGAAUCAUGGAAAAGUAUCUUCUAGGAACUUUUAGUUCUUUUGAAGAAGUUUCCAACGGUAUCACGCUUUCCAAUUUUGGACCUACAUAGUGCAAGAUACGAUUUUUCUAAAAUUGACACCCAAAGUUGAAAUUUGUCAAUUUCUUAGAAAAUAAAAUUUUGGAAAUUUGCCUUCUUUUCUCGAUACCGAUUGAACAUUUUGAACUCGAUUUCAUGGAAAAUAUUAGUCUCUCUCUUUAGACUUUAAAACUUUACUCUUGAGCCUCGAUUAUUAAUAAUUAAGGCCCAAUUAAUGAAUUCUCCUUAGAUUGUACAACCUUCUUUGAUAAGUAGGGGUUCUAAGUGAUAGUGUAUAAUAGUUAAUGGUUAUUUGCCCAGGCGCUCAAGGGGACCUUCAAGAGGAACUCGAAGUGGACGCCUAGGCAUUUGUUUGAGUAUUACUCUCUUGUUGCUAUAGGUGAGUGUUCCAUAUAGGAAUACGUAAUUGGAAUAAAUCUAUGACAUGCAUAACCCAUGAUCAUUAAGUGUUAAGUGCUAUAUGUUAGGUAUUUACCACACUCAUGCAUAUCUGAAUAAGGUAUACUUGAAUUACUCGACAUGAAAUACCUGAAAUAUGUAUACUUGAACUAUUCGAUAUGAAAUGCUUAAAGAGCAUAUUUAUGUGAUUACUUGAAAUACUAGAUAUGAAAUGCUUGGAGAGCAUAUCUACAUGAUGUGUUUAAAUGAUUAAUUAUGCUAUGAUAGCAUAAGUCGGUUGGAGUGAAUCUCCUCGACUCUUACGUUGAAAAAGUGAAAAACGGCCAAUGGUGGCCUAUUAAAAUGACAUAUGUCUACCAAUUAACCGUAAUUACCACCGUUAACCAUUUACCGUUUACCGUUUACCGUUAACCAUGUUUACUUACCGUUUUCUAAUCUAUUCGCCUACUUGCUUACUUGAUUAUCUGCUUACGUGAUCACCAACUUACUUGAUCACUUGAUUAUCGUGAAUCGCAUGUUAUAUGAAGCUGUCCAUCAUUGUUAGGCGAGUGUGUACUUUACCUCACUCGACCUACUCAAAUGAUGAAUUUUACCUUUUGCCGAAUUACUUGAUUACUUGUGCAUGUUGUAAGCUCUAAGCUGAACUGGGCCCUGCUCAUGGUUACUAACCUACUCGAGCCAGGACUGGGCUCGGUCGGGUAGGUUGGAACCUUGGGACACCGUUUCGGUAUACUCGAGUAUUACCACUGGAGGGAUAAGGUGAUGGCCAGUCAAACCGAGGGGAUCCGGAAGUCAUAAGGUGCAGAUGACCGACAGAGUUCCACUGGAACACCGUAUCCUACCGUAUAUGUUUACCUUGUAUCAUGAUAAUUGUUUCAUGCUAAAAUGCCAACAUGAAAUCCUGAGCUAUGCCUGUGAUAUGCUCCAUACCUGUUAACUGACCAAUGUACUCAUACCAUGAUACCUGUCUCAUACCAUGAUAAAUGUCUCAAAUUACUCGUACAAUGAUUAUCACCUCAUGAUAACAUGCCAUUGUGCAACCUUGAACCAUGCAUAUGAUAUGCCCAACUUACUUGAUUUAUUUGAACUGUUAGAGUGUCUUGGAACCUCACUGGGCUGUGUAGCUCAUCCCACGUUGUGGUUUUCUUUUAUAGGGUUCGAGACCAAGGGUGCUCGUGAGUAGUACUAGAUUGUUUUCUUUUGGAGACUUUAAGUUAUAUUAUAACGGAUGGCUAUUGUACCCUUUUCCGUUGGGUUGUAUUUAAGCUUGAAAGCUGCAUAAUUGUAAGUGUGAGAUAUUUGAAGUACUUUAAUUAUGUAUUGAGGUUACUUAAAGUAUUUCGAGCUUUUGAAUGAUGGAUUGUAGUGAGUCCUGGCGAGAGCUGGGCAGGCGUCCCGCGGAUACCCUUUGGUUCGCCUUAGGGAGAAGUGGGGGCGU